AAAAAAAAAAAAACAAAACAAAAAAAAAACCUUGGAGUAUUCAUGGGAGUCGUCCAUUCUUUAGAAGAGGUCAAUGAAUUUUAAGUUGCUUCUGAAAUACUUGCUCUUGGUCAAAGUUGUCUUGCUUUGUUGUUUAAAAAGAAACCAGCCAAUGCAUUUAGCAACAAAGAUUCCUUCUAAAAUGACUGCCGGCCGGAUUCUGACAAGAGCACACUGGGCAAUGUGAGGCUCCAUCCAGUCAAAUACAGGUGAUAUGAGGCUCACACAGCGAGACAAAAUACAUGUGAAGGCAGUUAAGCCAAACAAGGAGAUUUUAUAUUUUGACCUCGUUCUAGGUAUAAAGGAAACUCCAGGAGGCCUACAAUUCCGCAUCAGUUCAGACGAAAUGAUUGAUCUCUUUUCAAUGGAAAUGAAAGCUCAUUUUAAUUAUUUAAAAAUUAUCCAGACAAUCAUAACUUUCAGGCUAUCAGAGAAAGAAGAGCAGUGACAAGAAAAAUAGCAUCUAAUUUAGUUUUCCUAUUGUAUAUGAGCACAUGGGCUUUUGUAAUAGGGCAGAAGCAAGGACAGAAUAAUAUGGUGCUCAAACAUAUGGUGGCUGAUCUAAACCAAGAUUAAAACAUUUUAGUGAAGUUGCUGUGAGUCAAUCAUUGGCAAAAUUAAAUUUCCCUGGAAAAAUUUCACCUUUGAAGACCUUCUGCCCCAAGCAAACAGCUCAUAGGCUAAGGGUUCUUCCUGAUGCCCAUUUUUAAAAAUUCUGUGACAUGAUUUAGUCUCUGAAAAACCCAGUCUUCUCUUUUGUAAACUUGACUUUACAGCAUGCAAAAAUAUACUUUUUUGCAUAGUUACAUAUUAGACAUUUAAGAGCCAUUAUCUGCCAAGUGCUGGCAUUACAAGGGUAUGCCCCCACACCCAGCACAUUAUCAUCUUUAAUUCUCACAAUGAUCCUAGGAGUACUGAAGCAUAUAGACUGUAAGAUAAAUAACUUGUCCAAGAAUGACCUAAAUGUUAAAUCAAUUCUCUUUGUUUCCUCCUAUAAAAUGCUGUUGAUGUUGGGUCAUAACCAUCCGUAGAAUUUUUUGAAGAGAAUGACUGUUAAGAAUGAGAGAAGAAAGAUAUUUCCCAGAGUCUACAUGGCUUUCUUCUUCAACCAUCAAAAAGAAAAUGAGGGCCAGAGAAGCAAUUAGCCCAUAGUGGUCCGAUGCGGAAGGUGUUGGGUGGAGACAACUGCAGAAUUGGGAAGAAAUGACCUGAGAGAAGCAGAAAGUGAUGGGCUGAAGAGAAAGGUAAUUUAAAGGUUAUAGUCCAAUAUGAUGGCUGUGAACAGAAAGACCAAGAAUCCAGAAGUUACUUAGUCCACAAGGAUGGAUAUCUUAGAUGCUCUUCAGUAGACACUGCAGUCCAGAAGGCUUCCAGCAGAAGCUGUGGGUCAGAUCAAAGGUGUGUCUUCCUGCUUCAAGAUCUGAAUUAAAGACUUGUGUCUUUCUGCUUUAAGAUCCAGAUUAAAGAUACUUGACAAAGUUUGAAUGAAAAAGCCUGUCCAGGAGUGAAGGCUGGACUCUGGACCUAGAAGAUCACCUCUGUCAGAAAUGAUGAGCAAACUUCUGCAACCCAGCAGCUCCAAGCUCACUCCAACCCACUAAGUAAGGUGCAAGUUGGCUUUACUGAAAAGCAUUCAGUGAGGCAGAAGCAUGGUAGCAGGAAAGCUGGAAGGAUGAGGUGUCUGACUAUGGAUCCCAUCUACUUAAGCAGAGAAAGAAUUGGUUGCAUGCUGUGGCCCUAGCUUGCAUGGACUACAGCUCCAGAUGAACUUGAACUAGAUGUCAGCACAGAUUCCCGGGUACAUAAGCUGAACACAAAAGGCAAAGAUACUCAAAAUGUGAAUUAUACCCAUAGCCUUUGGUGAUUCCUUAGCCUUGGUGUGGCUGCUAGAAACAGGAGGUGAGACUCAACUCCUAUGUCUUAGCAGAGUUACAGCGUCCCAGGAUGAGCCAGUAAGAAGAAGGGAAGAUAAAAAUCAUCACUCCAAAGGUGGGGUCCCCUCACAGUCAUCUAGUCCCUCCAGAGGCUUGUUGAGUAUUCAGGUUACUGGACCAACUGAGGAAGAAUCUCAGUGGACUAACCAGUCUACCAGUUUCUUAAGUGAAUGGAACCAUGAGAACGUGUGUAUCAUGAUAUAUUUUUAAGUGUAAUAUUGAGAGGAUUUUAAUUCAACACAACUUAUGGUUAAGCAGAAUUCACUAAACAACAACUAUGCUGAAGGUGCUUCUAAAACUGCAUGUUAACCCAUUCCAUAUCUUGAAGGAAAAACAGGAUCUCAACAUUGCCAAUGCUCAAUCAUGUUUCAGAAUAUACCCUGCUUAUCACAGCAGCUCAGAAAACAGACACUGAAUUAAAUCCUAUUUUGAUCCAAUAACUUCAAAAAAGCUGGAAAGCCAAGCAAAGCAUUUGUGAUUUGCACGUUAGACUUUUUUUUUCCAGCCCCGAAGGCAAUCUCUAUAAUCAAUUAGUGUUGUCUAAGAACAUAGAAAUUCCAUCAGGCUCUAGCCUUAAGAUUAAUUGUGCAUGUGGCUUGGCCAGUUUUUACAGCAUUAUAGUGCCUCAAGAUUUUCAUCUCUCAAAUGGGAAGUACACUUUCAGAAAUGUCUAUUUCAGUGCUUGGUUAUGAACAUAAGAAGAUACAGUGUGGAAAAACAUGAAAAAGCAUUAGCUUUUCUUCACAUGCAUUUUAUAAAAGAAUUUAUACCAAUCAUUUGUUGGUUUGUUUCUUACUCAGUAAAAUUUAGUCAAAUGGGUGUUUAUUUAAAAUCUAUAAACCCUCACUAAGGCCCUCAGUAAUUUCCUUAGUGACUGUUCAAUGCAAUAUUGGGCAUAUUUCCUGUAAAAUGUAUAGUCUUUCAAUGUUGAUAUUUUAGGAAUUAUUUCAAGUUUUAGAUUUUACUUUAUUGAUGUGUUACUAAUUUACUUUAUCAUGAUGAUAGCAACAUAUAUAAAGUUACCUAUUUUUGAAGAGGGUUUUGUUAAGUUUAUAUUCCUGUGGAGUUUCAUUAAUGUGUGAAUACAGAUUUUUAUGAUUCCACAGUGUUUAUCUUUAGAUCCCCCUCUGUUUUUCACAUUUUAAAGUGU